UGUUAAUGGUAAUUGAUGUAUUAGUUAAAUGUGGUCUUAUGAUAGAGUUCUUGGGGGUAAAAGAUUUGUUACUUCUACUUCGUUAUUUUACAACUAUCGUACUAAACUGGUUUAAUGGUUUCUUUGGGUAGCUCAAUAGAAGAUGGACCACGAAAUAAAAAUGGUUUCUUUGGGCAACCAACUUCUCACAACCUUUCCUUGAAAACCUCUGCUUAUGGCAGUAAAUCAAGUUCUUCCUUGCCACUAAGAAUUUUCCAAGCUAUAUUCAAAAUAGAAAUCUAUCUUCCUGACCACUGAUUCUAAAACUUUCAUCAGAUUCCACUACCACCCCAUCUCUCAACAUACAUAUAAGCCACCAAAUAAAAGUGCAUCCACUUUAUCUUCUCUAACUUCAGUUGCUCCUUGCUCUUUAUCUUCGUAAUCCCUUUCUUCCAUCCACAACAGCAUACAUUAAUUGCAAACAUUUUCACAAACAUCAUCCAUAUAUCUUUCUAUAUCUGUAUUUUGUUUUAACUAUUAUAUUUCUAACCAUUUUCAUCUACUAAUCAAAUUAAAUUCUUUGCAGAUAAAGAUGGCCACAGAAUACAAACUUAUAACUGACAUCAAACUUGGAGAAUCUGGCUGGACUGUAAAGGCAGUAGUUUCAGAAAAAUGCUCUCCCACCAAAGCUAGGAACAGUCCAUUGAAAUACCAAUAUAUUUGGUUGAAGGAUCCUAAGGUAAAUCAUCUCUCAUAAUUUGACUUCCUUUGUUUGGAACUUUGAUCCACAAUAAAUCAAAACCAUCAACUCUAAAUAUCCGUUUAUCAAUUUUUCAAUCUAAUCAAACUCUUUCUUCCAUUCAAGAAAAAAAAAAUGUCCCACGUGCAUUUAAUUCAUUCAGGUGCUUAAAUUUUGAAAUCUCAAAUGUAUCUCAUUCCAAAUUAUAUAAAUGAAAGGAUGUAAAAUAUUGAAUUUCUAAAUAUACAAAUCCUCCAUUCUCUUUAUUAAGGAACACCAUAUCAAUUAGAUUCUAUAUCCAAAUAUAUUGUUCUUCUGCUCUAUUCUUUCACACAGUAAACUUCAUUUUCCUUUUUCUAGGUUGACAACUUCCUGCCUCACAUAGCGCCUUUCUAGCUCCUUACUACCACACAAAACAUACCUCAUCUCAAAUGCACAAGUUAAAGAAACAGAUAAAAAUUACAAGGCCCAACUUGGUGACAUCCGAUGGACAAUCAAUGCAAAAACAAACAUUGUUGAAGUCAAUGAACAAUUUAACUCUCUCCUUUCUUCAGCUUACAACUUCAUAUCAUUCGAAAAUCUUCAGCCAUACAUGGAUACAAAUGCAGAAUUUAGUAAGUACUUACAAUCCCAUUAACAUCUUACACUUCAUUACUUCCAUCUUCAACAUAAAUUACAACUUACACUGAUUACUAACCUACAUUACUUCUUGUAGGCAUUAUUGGGAUAGCAACUGACAUCUUUCCCAAAAGAGUAAUUCAAAUUCGUGACAAGCAAUCAACGGUACAAGAUGUCAUUCUCAUGAAUGAGAUGUUAGAAAUUCACUACUGCCAACACUAAAAUAACUCUUUUAGUUAUUAUAUAUUAAAUACAGCUAACGGCCUUACAGGUUAGAAACACAUAUGCUUUAGAUGUGGUUCAAUUUCAUCACAAAUGAAUGUAAUACGAUCUACAACACAAUCACCAAACAACUAAUUGUUGUGAGCAACAGAUUAAGAGUCACUUCUUUCAAUGGGAAAUUCACUCAUCCUUGUGCACAAUCACACGAACACAUGAAUUCAAAACUUACAUGCAAAAACUCAAUUCAAUCUCUAUUUAGGUAUAUCAGUCUCUACAAAAAUCAACUCAUCAAUACUCAUUAAUCCCCCAUUUAAGCAAGUUCUUGAACUAAAGCACUGGUACUUUUUUUUGCUUAUUCAGUUACAUACUUAUAUCUAUUGUAAUUAUAACUCUUAAUUUACUUAUUUACUUUUAACAAUUUCAUUCUAACAUCAACAUUAGGCUCGAGACAACAUGAACACAGUAAAUGACAUCUGUGACAAGAAAAGAUUAUACCUUCCCUACAUCUGCCACCAUUUGUUGUCCACCAAAAGACAAGUUAGUCAACAUCAAACAACUACAACAACUCCAACAUAUGGUAUACCAAAUUACUAAACCUUCUCACUUACACAACAUCUCACAUCUGCCCAUAACACACAUUUUUUUACAUGUUAUUCUGUACAUUGCAGCAAUGACACUUUAGGACAAAACCAAAUGUCACAUUGGCUGAAAUAGACCAACCACUAUGGUAUCUAUCAUGUGACAAUUGUAAUAAAUCCGCAAGUGCGGCUGUGAACGAAACUUACUUCUGUAGAUUUUGCAAGCACAAUUACGCUACACCAACUCCAAGGUAAGAUUAUAAUCAUGUCAGUACAUCAUUUAUAUGAAUAAAUGAAUUAUUUAUUAUCUAAUCAUCACCAAAUAGAACCUAAAAUAGUAAUAAUGAUUCCACUUCCAUUCUAGCAUAGCAAGAGCAAUUGUUCAACUACAAGACUCCACAGGCUCAAUCACCGCAUUGAUAAUUGGAAAUCCAAUUGAAACAUUCCUCAAAUACCCAGCAACAGAACUGAUGAAACAAAGUUAUGAGGUUAUAUCUUUUUUAUUUUUUUUGUUGAGCCUUUGUGUUUUUUUUUUCUUUUUCAUCAUUUUCUUUUGCGUUCUUCAUGUUUUUCUUCAUUUGUUAAGUCUUUAUCCAUUGAAAUCCCAAAAAAAUUUCAAAAGUUUUUUUUGGGCUAAUUUAGCAUCCAAAACAACUUCCCUUUGUUCCGUCAGAGUCGUAGUCAAAUUUUUUGUCAAAAGAGUCAAAUUUUUUUUACUGUUCAUGGUACUGUUAAAAAAUGGUUUUCUUAUUAUUUGAGUCAAAAAAAUUUGUUCAUGGUACCGAAAACCUCUUCGUUGUUAAUGGAUUAGAGAAAGGAAGUUGCUUCGUUCAGAAAUUAAAAUCUAGUAUUACUUGACAAAAAAAGUUUGGAAUGCCAAAGUUAUUACUUUUGAAACCAGCGUGGAUCAAAUUAACAUUAGGGAUUCAAGCAGAAAAAGCAUGAUUACAAAGAGCAAUAGGCCAACAAUCAUCUCACCAAAUAUAUUGAAUACCAUUAUAUAGCUUUACACGCACUUUACCAGCAAUCCAGUAAUAUUUUAUGUACUAUUAGUCAAAGUAUAUUACUUUCACAAUACAAAAAGAAUAUGUCACAUUAACAGAAUAUAAUAUCUACCAUCAAUUAUGAAAAAGGAACAGAUACUGACCUGGUGGUAUCCACUUGCCUAGUUAUUUCCAGCGCUGCCUUCAUGAUCUGCAAUAAUUACAUUCUUGUGAUUGUAGAGAUUUCUGUAUUCCCCAUUUUGUAUACCAUUAAUCACUCUGGGCUCCAAAUCCAUUAGUAAUGCACGCGGAAUAUAGUAUUGAUCAUUGGCUUGAUAGAAAAAAAUCUUUCCCGUCACCUCCCUGGAGCAUUGUACUA
rnacentral:lncRNA from 1 species